AUUGAACGCUGGCGGCAGGCCUAACACAUGCAAGUCGAGCGGAUGAAGGGAGCUUGCUCCUGGAUUCAGCGGCGGACGGGUGAGUAAUGCCUAGGAAUCUGCCUGGUAGUGGGGGAUAACGUCCGGAAACGGGCGCUAAUACCGCAUACGUCCUGAGGGAGAAAGUGGGGGAUCUUCGGACCUCACGCUAUCAGAUGAGCCUAGGUCGGAUUAGCUAGUUGGUGGGGUAAAGGCCUACCAAGGCGACGAUCCGUAACUGGUCUGAGAGGAUGAUCAGUCACCUGGGAACUGAGAACCGUCCCCGCCCCCUCCGGGGGGCACCGGUGGGAAUUUUUGGAAAAGGGGCGAAAGCCUGAUCCAGCCUUGCGGGGGGGUGGAAGAAGGUCUGCGGUUUUUAAACCCCUUUAAGGUGGGAGAAAGGGAAUUAAGUUAAUACCUUGCUUUUUGGCCGUUCCCAACAGAAAAAGCACCGGCUACCUUCGU
rnacentral:rRNA from 1 species